rnacentral:lncRNA from 1 species
CUUGCAAAUUGCUCCACAGUCUAACCAGUCAUGCUAUUGAGAAGAUAUGCCUGCAGUUCAACCCAAAUUCUCUGUUGCUGUGUUUUGCACAUGUUCAACAAACUCAGCUUCCUUCUUGCGGUGAGGAGUACUCAAGAUGUGGUCUUAUCAGUGUCAAGCAUUGAGGGACAAGCAGAACAAUUCAAAGGCUAUGACUAUCCUUGAGACCUUGUAGCACCUGCACCUACAGAAACUGUCCACAGAGACCUUACCGGACCAUGUUUUAUUGUCAUUGUUUCUGGGCAAAGGUUUUAUAAUGCAGCAGUGGAGUCCAUCUUGCUGAAGCAAUGGAGACAGAUAGUGAUGGAGCUGCCAGAACAACCUGUAAAUUAUCUGCCCUAAAAUCCUCAAAGAGCACUUUGUGCUGAAAAGAAGGCUGUUCAAGGCAGGAGGGGAAGAAUUUGAUCUUGCCUACAUUUGUUGUACAGGAACAGAAAGGAGGAGUGCUUUAUUCAUCAAGUGAACACAGCACUUUAAAAAUUCAACUAAGUCAAUAUAGGAAUACGUUUAAAAUGUAUUCACCUUCAGAGAGAGAUUUCCUGGACUGACAGAACUGCCAAUGGGUAUGAGUUAUUGCUUAGCAAAAGUUGCUGCAAAGGAUGCUGUACCCAUCACCCCUGUGAAGGGGUCUUAUGUGGAACAAGCUGCUAAGAAAGUUAUGGCCAACAGAAGUUCUGCCUUUGACUGGUGCUUUGGUAACUACCUGUGGGGAUAGUCUGCUGUUAUUCUAUUUUUCUUCCUUCUUUGUCAGAGAAAAUGGCAGUCUGGUGACAGUGUUCUUGAGAAUAGCAACUUCAUUCUACCAGGUUCUGCUGGUAGAGUAGAAGUGGAAAGUCCUGCCUGAGAACGUGCAUUGUAGAAGCACUGUUCCCAAAGCUGGCAGCUCUGCCAAAACCCAGAACAUGAGUGCUUUGGGGAUGCCCUGGUAGGAACUUAGGUCAGUGCUGGCCUUGGGCCAUCCAGAGUAAGAUGUGAACUGCCUGGACUACGGCAUUACUGGGCAGAAAGAGUGUCUGAUCCCUUCAUGAUUUCAACUUCAGAUUUGCACACCUUAUAUUUACCUCUGAGUACUUUGUAGCACAGUUUGAUAUUUAUGCUUUGACUUUAAUUCAGAAAGAAUCUGGAGAGGAAUAAGAGAGAGGCUAAAAAUGUGCAAGACAAAAAAUACAUGUGUGAUUUCUGAAAUCUGACAGUGUUUAGGAGGGGAAAUAGAAGCUACACUGCUGAUUAUUUUACUUUAUUCUCCCAAUUGAAUGUGAUUUUUUUUGUUUUGUUAUUUUUUAUUUUUCUUUCUAUGCUAUGUAUGGAUGAUACCAGGCCAGUUCCUACCCAAAGGCUUGCUUAAGUGCUUUCAAUCUUACUUGCUUACCUUGCAUCUACAGUAACAAGGAUUCAGUUGUGAGUAAGCCUCAGCAUGUUACUUUAGUUCAAAUGAUUUCUAACUGGAAUAUCAGUGAAUCUUUACCUUCAGGUCAUCCGUGCUCUUUUGUAAGAAUGAAUUUCAGUAGCUUAAAAAUGCUCAGAGUUUGUGAAUGACAAUGAUAACUCACUGCUAUGAAACUUCCUGUAAGUGUGCACCCAUCUCCCUAAAUAAGUAGAAAUGGGUUUCAAAUAACAGGCUCUUCUGUUUAUAAGAGUGGUAAUUAGAAGUGCAUUAAGGAAACCCUCAUUUCAGAAGCAGGCGUAUGAUAUCUAUGAAGUUUCCUGCUUUUUUCCUUUUCUAUAUAUGUUUGAGGCUCCUGAUUGUCUAAUGAGAUUAGGGUAAAUUUGAAAUUAAUUGUAUCUUGUAUAUGUUUUUGAAAUAACAGGCAUAAAGCUACAUUAACUUGUUUUCAUUUGUGAAAGCAGCCUGUUUUCCUUGGUACGUAAGUAACUUCAUGGUUACUAAAGUCUUACUUAUACCCUUUGAAUUGUAUGAGCAAACCUUUCUCUAUUUUAUGUGUUCAUGAAGAUAUUGAAGAAAUAUCAGCAGCUUUGUAUGCAAGUAGAUGAGUGAAGUUGGCAUUUAAACUCUUGAAAAUUACAUAACAGCUACUAGUGUUAAGAAAUUAUAGAUAUGAUGAAGGAAGAGCUGUGAAUUUACAUUUAGAAAUUAACCCAGCUGGGUUUUGUGUGUGAGUGAAAGGUGAAGGAGAGAUAUUUUUAAAAGCUAUUAUUGUGCAUCAGCAAGGUGUGUGUCAUUAACUAAUUAUUUUGAGAAUGCCUUACUAAGACAGUGGUGGUAAUUAGUCUUUAGAUUUGUAGAAGGAAUGUGAUAUUCCUUUUAA